ACCUACUUUUCAUCAAGGAUGAACUUGGAACCCUGGAGAAUUCGAAAGGAAUUGGAUGGAAAUGCAGCUGAGAAGCUGCCUAUGAAGUUGGCCUGUAACCUGUGACCCACACUGGGUCUAGUUGGCACUCACAGGUUAGAUGGCAAAAAGCUCAAAGACCGCUCCUCCAAUAGCUGCAACCCUGCCCGGAAAAUCCAUCGAGCCCAAGAUGUUUCUUCCUCCUGACUCCCGUGGCUUAUUUCAACGAUCCCUUUCCCCAAACCAUGAGACUGCUUAGAGCUCUGAUAGAUGUCGUACAAGGUGGCAGUAUGUCCCAGUACAAGGAAUUUGAC
rnacentral:lncRNA from 1 species